rnacentral:rRNA from 1 species
GACGAACGCUGGCGGCGUGCUUAACACAUGCAAGUCGAACGAAGAGCGAUGGAAGCUUGCUUCUAUCAAUCUUAGUGGCGAACGGGUGAGUAACGCGUAAUCAACCUGCCCUUCAGAGGGGGACAACAGUUGGAAACGACUGCUAAUACCGCAUACGAUCUAACCUCGGUAUCGAGGAUAGAUGAAAGGUGGCCUCUACAUGUAAGCUAUCACUGAAGGAGGGGAUUGCGUCUGAUUAGCUAGUUGGAGGGGUAACGGCCCACCAAGGCGAUGAUCAGUAGCCGGUCUGAGAGGAUGAACGGCCACAUUGGGACUGAGACACGGCCCAGACUCCUACGGGAGGCAGCAGUGGGGAAUCUUCCGCAAUGGACGAAAGUCUGACGGAGCAACGCCGCGUGAGUGAUGACGGCCUUCGGGUUGUAAAGCUCUGUUAAUCGGGACGAAAGGCCUUCUUGCGAAUAGUGAGAAGGAUUGACGGUACCGGAAUAGAAAGCCACGGCUAACUACGUG